CCUACGGGAGACAGCAGUGAGGAAUAUUGGUCAAUGGACGAGAGUCUGAACCAGCCAAGUAGCGUGCAGGAUGACUGCCCUAUGGGUUGUAAACUUCUUUUAUAAAGGAAUAAAACGAGUCACGUGUGCCUCUUUGCAUGUACUUUAUGAAUAAGGAUCGGCUAACUCCGUGCCAGCAGCCGCGGUAAUACGGAGGAUCCGAGCGUUAUCCGGAUUUAUUGGGUUUAAAGGGUGCGUAGGCGGUCGGUUAAGUCAGCGGUAAAAUUGCGGGGCUCAACCCUGUCGAGCCGCGGGAACUGGCGGGCUUGAGUUGGCGAGAAGUACGCGGAAUGCGCGGUGUAGCGGUGAAAUGCAUAGAUAUCGCGCAGAACUCCGAUUGCGAAGGCAGCGUGCCGGAGCCAGACUGACGCUGAGGCACGAAAGCGUGGGGAUCGAACAGGAUUAGAUACCCGUGUAGUC
rnacentral:rRNA from 1 species